rnacentral:rRNA from 1 species
GUCCUACGGGACGCAGCAGUGAGGAAUAUUGGUCAAUGGGCUUACGCCUGAACCAGCCAAGUCGCGUGAGGGAAGACGGCCCUACGGGUUGUAAACCUCUUUUGUCGGGGAGCAAAGCGAGUCACGUGUGACUCAUUGAGAGUACCCGAAGAAAAAGCAUCGGCUAACUCCGUGCCAGCAGCCGCGGUAAUACGGAGGAUGCGAGCGUUAUCCGGAUUUAUUGGGUUUAAAGGGUGCGCAGGCGGAGGUGCAAGUCAGCGGUCAAAUUGCGGGGCUCAACCCCGUACUGCCGUUGAAACUGCAUC